GCAUGUGGAUUAAUUCGAUGCAACGCGAAGAACCUUACCUGGGCUUGACAUAUAGGACGACGGCAGAGAUGUCGUUUCCUUGUGCUUGUAUACAGGUGGUGCAUGGUUGUCGUCAGCUCGUGUCGUGAGAUGUUGGGUUAAGUCCCGCAACGAGCGCAACCCUUGUCUCAUGUUGCCAGCAAUUCGUUGGGGACUCGUGAGAGACUGCCGGGGUCAACUCGGAGGAAGGUGGGGAUGACGUCAAAUCAUCAUGCCCCUUAUGUCCAGGGCUUCACACAUGCUACAAUGGCCGGUACAGAGGGCUAAUCUCUUAAAGCCGGUCUCAGUUCGGAUUGGGGUCUGCAACUCGACCCCAUGAAGUCGGAGUCGCUAGUAAUCGCAGAUCAGCAUGCUGCGGUGAAUACGUUCCCGGGCCUUGUACACACCGCCCGUCACGUCAUGAGAGUCGGUAACACCCGAAGCCGGUGGCCUAACC
rnacentral:rRNA from 1 species